rnacentral:lncRNA from 1 species
AAUGCUUGCAGCAAAGGUUAUCUCACCCUGAAGCAAAGGGCAGGAAUUGCAUGACUACAGUCUCUAACAGAUCCUGCAUUCGUUUUGAGAAUGUGACCAUGCUGAAAAAGAUGACAAUCCUUUCAACACUGCUGAUUCUGAUUCUGGUUGAUCAGCUAAAGGCACAAGGUACCCCUGUUACCCCAGUGCUUGAGGCAACCAGUGUGGAGCAAAGCAGUGAUCCCAGCGUACAGCCAAGCACAGAGCUGCCCCCUGACUACAGCGGAGACUCUCACAAGGAGGAUGGCACAGAGCAAGAUGGGAGCAAUGGAGUGCAAGAAGGUGAACAGACCUUUUGGGAGCUGAGUGGAGAGUCAAGUGCUGAGUCCAUCCCUAAGCCCAGUGUGGAGCCAAGUCAAGAACCAACACAGGAAUCAUCCACUGAAAUAUCUGAGUAAAUUCCAACAUUAAAAUUUGAUGAAAAAGCAGCACCCGCUUACCUAUAGAGGUGAUUUCACCACCAAGAACCCAUGUGGGGUUCCUGUUGCAAUCUAGAUGGCAGAGCUAUUCCCAGAACUACAUCUUGCAAGAAAACUGUAACCAUAGUCUUCAGCUCCAGAACCCCAUCUAACUCUUGAUUACUUUACCAGAUUAAUUAGAAAACAGCUGACCUGUGCUGUUUUGCUUGCAUAAUAAC